rnacentral:rRNA from 1 species
UACGUAGGGGGCAAGCGUUGUCCGGAAUCAUUGGGCGUAAAGCGCGUGUAGGCGGCCAGAAAAGUCCGCUGUGAAAACUCGAGGCUCAACUUCGAGCUGUCGGUGGAAACUUUCUGGCUAGAGUCCGGAAGAGGAGAAUGGAAUUCCUGGUGUAGCGGUGAAAUGCGCAGAUAUCAGGAAGAACACCCGUGGCGAAGGCGGGUCUCUGGGCCGUAACUGACGCUGAGGAGCGAAAGCAUGGGGAGCGAACAGG